UACAGAGGUCCCAAGCGUUGUUCGGAUUCACUGGGCGUAAAGGGUGCGUAGGUGGUGAGGUAAGUCUGAUGUGAAAUCUCCGAGCUUAACUCGGAAAUGGCAUUGGAAACUACCUCGCUCGAGGAUUGGAGGGGGGACUGGAAUUUACGGUGUAGCGGUGAAAUGCGUAGAUAUCGUAAGGAAGACCAGUGGCGAAGGCGGGUCUCUGGACAGUUCCUGACGCUGAGGCACGAAGGUCAGGGGAGCAAACGGG
rnacentral:rRNA from 1 species